GGGGGCGACUUGGCUUCGACGGGGGUAUCAAAGCACGCGGUGCAUGCCGAGAGGGUAGUGACUCUCGUUAAACAAUCGCUGUAACUUUUAUAGUUGCCAACGACGAAAACUACGCACUAGCGGCCUAAAAAAACCGCUUACGUCGAUGAUCCGCGCCUGCGAGGUGAAAUCGACGGCAAAGUUCGCAGGAUCGCGUGGACGUCUCGCUCGGGGCUGAAGCGUUAAACUCAAUCGAGCUCGCUGACAACGCCCUGACCGUCGGGCCGUUUGAAGCCAAAUCAAUAGACGGACUCUAAGCAUGUAGAGCCAACUGCCGAGAGCCACCGGACGCGGGUUCAACUCCCGCCGCCUCCACCA
rnacentral:tmRNA from 2 species